rnacentral:misc_RNA from 1 species
AUCGAUAGCAAACUGGAGCUCCCGCCAUAUUGUGGUGCGAGUGAAUAUCUGUGCAUUACUUCAGAGUGUGCGGUAGUGAGCGGUUGUCAGCGGUGUCGGUAUUCCGCUGUGUCGAGUGUAUUCUUUCCCUGUGUUGGCUGAGAACGGUGUACACAAGCCCCUGAGAGUGUGAAUUGGAUGUGUAAUUCGAAGAAAAAGUUGGUCGUCUGCUAACUGCAAACUACGCGGAAAAAUAAGGACGCGGGUCAACUGCUGAAGGUAGUGCCGGGACACACACCGUCACCAUUAUGCUGGAACCGAGCAGUUCAGAGGAGGAAUCUGACGAUGGGGUGCAGGAGAAACCCGUCGGACGUGGCCACUCUUCCCGUUCCGAUGGUGCUAGCAGUCACGAUACACACGUUCCCGAUGGCGCGACAAGCACUGCUCCUUCCCUGCAGGUUCCUGGAGUACCCACCUCCCUCCCCAGUAAACACGGACAAAGGCGAGCCAGCAUAAGGGCGGGACAAGGGUAUGACACUAGAAGUAAUUCACCAUCAAGUACUCUCAGUGUGGACACGCUGAGUGUUGGCGGGGGAUCGAGGGCCAACUCACUCCCAAGGCCGACCUCUCCCUCGCCCUCCGUGAUGAGCGACAAGACAAUGACGCAGGAAGACCCUGCGGAGAAACAAGAACGGGAGGAGGAGGAGCGUAAAAAGAGGCUACAGUUGUACGUGUUCAUCCUGCGGUGCAUCUCUUACCCUUUCAACGCCAAGCAGCCCACCGACAUGACCAAGAGACAGAUUAAAGUCAGCAAACACCAGCUAGACACCAUUCAGGGCCGCUUCCAGAGUUUUCUGAAGGGAGAGCUACAAAUUGCGGCAGACGAGGCCUUCACUAACGCAGUACAGAGCUACCAUGAAGUUUUCCUAAAAAAUGAACGGCUGGCAUCCAUGGUGUUGUCGGGCGCCUGCUCCCAACAUGACUUACGGGAGGUGUUCAAGCAUAACGUAGAGAAGAGAGUCAGAUCCUUACCGGAAAUAGAUGGGCUGAGCAAAGAGACCGUUCUCACAUCCUGGAUGGCCAAGUUUGAUAUGAUCAUCAAAGGUGAAGAGGACAGUAAACGACCUGGCAGGAUGCAGCAGACCCUCAACAGUGAACUCAUCAUGCCUAAAGAACAGCUCUUUGAUAUGUUCCAGCAGAUCCUUGGCAUCAAGAAAUUUGAGCAUCAGCUUCUGUUUAAUGCAUUACAGCUGGACAGUCAGGAUGAACAAGCAGCUGCCAUCCGUAGAGAACUGGAUGGUCGUAUGCAGAAGGUUGCAGAAUUAGAACGGGAGUUAGAAGGUCUUAAGAGAGAUCCGGAAAACCGUAAGCUGAUGCCCAAGUUUGUGGUGAAGGAGAUGGAGUCCCUUUACUUAGAGGAACUCAAGACGUCUAUUAACCUGUUGAUGGCCAAUCUAGAAAGUCUCCCUGUGUCGAAAGGUUCACAGGAGGGCAAAUAUGGUUUACAAAAGCUUAAAAAGUACAAUCACAGGUCAGAUGGGAGCAUGGAAAAUCUAUCUCUUAGUAGACGUAAAAGAUACAAAGUUUUCGAGUACCUGUCCCCAAAACUAAGCAGGUCUCAGAGCUCGUUAAGUGGUCGAGAUAGUGACAGUAUGGACAACGAGGUCACGCUAUCCAAGAUGGAUGUUGUCCUGUCAUUUGUAUUAGAGGUAUUGGUCAUGGAGGUUCGAGAAAUCAAGCACUUACCGGCCAACAGAAUUGUGUAUUGUACCAUGGAGGUGGAGGGAGGUGAGAAGUUGCAGACAGACCAAGCAGAGGCAUCAAAACCAAUGUGGGACACACAAGGUGACUUCACCACAACACACCCGUUGCCUGCUGUUAAAAUUAAGCUCUACACAGAAUCAGCCUCUGUGCUCUCUCUUGAUGACAAGGAGUUGGGCAAGGUUGUUUUACAUCCCACAGCGCUUUCACCUAAGAUACCUGAAUGGUACAAGAUGCAAGUACCAAAAAAUUCUUCAGAAAAUAACCUUAGAAUUAAGAUUACAGUUAGAAUGGAUAAACCACAGAAUCUUAAACACUGUGGUUAUCUGUAUGCUCUAGGAAAAAGCUGUUGGAAGAAGUGGAAAAAACGGUAUUUCUGUCUAGUCCAAGUAUCACAAUACACAUUUGCUAUGUGUAGCUACAGAGAGAAAAAAAGCGAACCAACGGAGAUGAUGCAGCUAGAUGGUUACACCGUUGACUAUAUUGAACCUGUGUCAGCUCAGCUUAUGGUUGGAAUGGAUCUGGAAGGUGGAAGAUUUUUCUUUAAUGCCGUAAGAGAGGGUGAGUCCAUAUUGUAUGCCACUGAAGAUGAGAAUGAGUCUCAUCAAUGGGUGACUGCACUUUAUCGGGCUACAGGUCAAGCUCACAAACCAACUCCACCAGUAAUGCCUCAAGGAAAAAAUUCCACGUUAUCCAAAAUACAGGGAGACGCAGACAAAGCGAAGAAACAUGGUAUGGAUGAAUAUAUUAGUGCCGAUCCCGUUAGAUUUGAUCACCACAACCUUUAUAGAGUACUACAAGCUCAAACACUUGAAUACCGUCUUGUUGAUCCCUACUGUUCUCUGGGAUGGUUCAGUCCUGGUCAAAUUUUUGUAUUAGAUGAGUACCAGGCUCGGUAUGGUGUACGCGGCUGUUAUAGACAUCUUUGUUAUUUGGAAGACCUCCUAGACCGAGCAGAGAAGGGCCAGAUGAUUGACCCAACUCUCAUCCACUACUCCUUUGCCUUCUGUGCCUCCCACGUUCAUGGAAACAGUCAUCAAACUGUAAGCCCCGCCGAAGAUGGGACGGUGACAGUAGGCCAAGAACAAACUCAAGGCCAAAUAGCCCCUAACGUACCAUUUCCAACAAGACCCGAUGGCGUGGGUACCGUCCUGGCAGAAGAGAAGGAGCGCUUCCAGGUUAUUAAGGAGAGGUUAAGAGUCUUACUAGAACACCAGAUUACAAAUUUCAUGUAUUGCUUCCCAUUUGGUCGACCAGAAGGUGCCCUUAAAGCCACAUUAUCCUUACUUGAGCGGGUGCUGAUGAAGGAUAUAGUGACGCCCGUGCCGCCCGAAGAGGUGAGAGGCAUGAUCAAAAAGUGCCUAGAAAAUGCUGCUCUCCUCAACUAUACUCGUCUUUCUGCCGAAACCAAAAUUGAGGGUGGAGAAACUACCCUUCAAGAGGACCUUAGUGGUGAGAAUGCAGUGUCUGCUGGCAGGAAGUUGGAUGACCUCAUUCACCUGGCUGAGUUGUGUGUUGACCUCUUGCAGCAGAAUGAGGAACACCAUGCAGAGGCUUUCAGAUCGGAUAAAGCAUUUGCAUGGUUCAGCGACCUGUUGGUGGAACAUGCAGAGAUCUUCUGGUCCCUGUUUGCUGUAGAUAUGGAUCAAGUUUUGGCUGAACAACCACCCGAUACCUGGGACUCCUUCCCGCUCUUCCAGAUACUCAAUGACUACCUAAGAACAGAUGACAACCUAAAAAAUGGACGAUUUCACCAACAUCUCAGAGAGACGUUUGCACCGAUGGUAGUUCGAUACGUGGACCUGAUGGAAUCCUCGAUAGCUCAGUCCAUUCACAAGGGCUUCGAGAAGGAACGGUGGGAGAAUAAGGGAAAUGGCUGUGCAACAUCAGAAGAUCUCUUCUGGAAACUGGAUGCCUUACAGUCUUUUAUUCGGGACCUUCACUGGCCUGACCAUGACUUUGCAAAACAUCUAGAGCAAAGAUUAAAGUUGAUGGCGUGUGACAUGAUUGAGUCAUGUAUUACCCGAACAGACCAAGCAUUCCAACAGUGGCUAAAGAAAGGAACUGGCUUUGUUUCUACAGACUAUGUACUGCCAUCUGAGAUGUGUGCAAUGGUCAAUGUUAUUCUUGAUGCCAAGAAUCAGUCUUUCAAACUUUGUGCAGUAGAUGGAGUUGAUGUGCAUCAGUACCACACCAAGAUUGAUGACCUGAUUGAGAGAACGAGUAGCUCUAUGACCCAAGGAAUGGUGGCUAAGCUAAUAUCAGUACUGGAGUCUGUCAUCUCUAAACUAAGUAGAUAUGAUGAGGGAAGCUUCAUCGGGUCAAUUCUUUCAUUCACGUAUCAGCAGAAUGUGAGUGGAUCAGGAAAGGAGCUAGGAAAAGCAUAUAUCAACUUUGCCAGAAACUCCAUGGACCAAAUCAGGCAAAAGGUUAAUGAUGAACUCUGGAUUCUCAACUUAUUUGAGCAGUGGUAUGCCGCACAGGUGACAAUGUUAUGUACAUGGCUGAGCGAAAGACUAGAUCAUAACCUCCAUCCAUACCAAUGUACUUGUCUCGCCCAUAUUGUUAAGCUCAUAUUCUCAGAUUUCACAGCGUAUGGGCUAGGUCACGAACAGACUGGGGUACAGGCCUACGUAGUGGUGAGUCAGCGAGUGGAGGCAGAACAUCAGCGACUCGUACGAGGCGGCAAACUCAAGGAAUAAGUCAUCCCUUCCCACCGUCAAAAACGUGUCCCGUGUUGUUGUCUUAGGCUUUGGCUCUUUUUAUGGCAGGAUGAGUGUUUAAAUAUCUGUUAAGUUUUGAGAAAAACUGAUAAUGUAUAUAGAAUAAAUGGACUUCUACCUCAAAGAUUGAUAAAAGUGAUAUUUUAGACUGAAAGACAAAAGUAUACAUAAAAAUGUAAUCCAGUAAAUUAACUUCAACUUUAUCUAAGAUUUUCUUCAUAAAGAAGUCUUGGUAAAAGCAUCAGAUAUUUGAUAAAAAGAUGCAAAGAAAAUGUUAUAGAAGAGGUUCAAGUAUUAACAGCAGUUUAAACACUCUACCUGAACACAGACUAUGACUUCCCUUUGGCCCCUGGAAGUCGCUCGAACUACUGUGGAGAAGGUGGCCGCUGACGACCUACUUUACAUGUAAAAUUUAUACGGACUUCGAGCUACAAGGAAUAAUGGAGGAAAAGCUAAACACCAAAACUUAUCAAACAAUCAGUCAGCGAAUGACCACUGAGGAAGCUGCCUGU